rnacentral:rRNA from 1 species
GCUGGAUUCGCUAGUAAUCGCGCAUCAGCCAUGGCGCGGUGAAUACGUUCCCGGGCCUUGUACACACCGCCCGUCAAGCCAUGGGANCCGGGGGUGCUUGAAGUGCGUCGCCGCAAGGCGCGCCCUAGAGCAAAACCGGUGACUGGGGCUAAGUCGUAACAAGGUAAC